rnacentral:rRNA from 1 species
GACGAACGCUGGCGGCGUGCUUAACACAUGCAAGUCGAACGGUAAGGCCCUGCCUUUGUGGGGUGCUCGAGUGGCGAACGGGUGAGUAACACGUGAGUAACCUGCCCUUGACUUUGGGAUAACUUCAGGAAACUGGGGAUAAUACCGGAUAGGAGCUCCUGCUGCAGGGUGGGGGUUGGAAAGUUUCGGCGGUUGGGGAUGGACUCGCGGCUUAUCAGCUUGUUGGUGGGGUAGUGGCUUACCAAGGCUUUGACGGGUAGCCGGCCUGAGUGGGUGACCGGCCACAUUGGGACUGAGAUAGGGCCCAGACUCCUACGGGAGGCAGCAGUGGGGAAUAUUGCACAAUGAGCGGGAGCCUGAUGCAGCAACGCCGCGUGCGGGAUGACGGCCUUCGGGUUGUAAACCGCUUUCGCCUGUGACGAAGCGUGAGUGACGGUAAUGGGUAAAGAAGCACCGGCUAACUACGUG